UGUGAACGCUGGCGGUAGGCCUAACACAUGCAAGUCGAACGGCAGCACAGGAGAGCUUGCUCUCUGGGUGGCGAGUGGCGGACGGGUGAGGAAUACAUCGGAAUCUACUCUGUCGUGGGGGAUAACGUAGGGAAACUUACGCUAAUACCGCAUACGACCUACGGGUGAAAGCAGGGGACCUUCGGGCCUUGCGCGAUUGAACGAGCCGAUGUCGGAUUAGCUAGUUGGCGGGGUAAAGGCCCACCAAGGCGACGAUCCGUAGCUGGUCUGAGAGGAUGAUCAGCCACACUGGAACUGAGGCACGGUCCAGACUCCUACGGGAGGCAGCAGUGGGGAAUAUUGGACAAUGGGCGCAAGCCUGAUCCAGCCAUACCGCGUGGGUGAAGAAGGCCUUCGGGUUGUAAGGCCCUUUUGUUGGGAAAGAAAUCCAGCUGGCUAAUACCCGGUUGGGAUGACGGUACCCAAAGAAUAAGCACCGGCUAACUUCGUGCCAGCAGCCGCGGUAA
rnacentral:rRNA from 1 species